rnacentral:piRNA from 1 species
UGGGCUGAUUAGUGUACUUAAUGGGUU